rnacentral:rRNA from 1 species
AUUCCAGCUCCAAGAGCGUAUAUUAAAGUUGUUGCAGUUAAAAAGCUCGUAGUUGGAUUUCUGGUCUAAUGCGCCUGGCCCGCUGCCGUUAGGUAUGUGAGUGCCGGUGCGCGUUUACCAUCCUUCCAGAGAACACUUCUACCAUUUAUUUGGACGGAUGUUGUCUUCUGGAUCUUUUACUUUGAAAAAAUUAGAGUGUUUAAAGCAGGCCUUUGCUGUGAAUACAUUAGCAUGGAAUAAUAAUCUAGGACUUCGGUUCUAUUUUGUUGGUUUCUAGUACUGAAGUAAUGAUUGAUAGGGAUAGUUGGGGGUGCUAGUAUUGGCCGGCCAGAGGUGAAAUUCUUGGAUUAACGGAAGAUGAACUUCUGCGAAAGCAUCUGCCAAGGAUGUCUUCAUCA